rnacentral:rRNA from 1 species
UACGUAGGGUGCAAGCGUUAAUCGGAAUUACUGGGCGUAAAGCGUGCGCAGGCGGUUUUGUAAGACCGACGUGUGAAAUCCCCGGGCUUAACCUGGGAACUGCAUUGGUGACUGCAAGGCUUGAGUGUGUCAGAGGGAGGUGGAAUUCCGCGUGUAGCAGUGAAAUGCGUAGAUAUGCGGAGGAACACCGAUGGCGAAGGCAGCCUCCUGGGAUAACACUGACGCUCAUGCACGAAAGCGUGGGGAGCAAACAGG